rnacentral:pre_miRNA from 1 species
UUAACUCAAAUUUGUAUGGAGUUAUAACGAUUGCCUACGUUUGCCGCUAGGGCAAUGCUGUUCCAACGGCAUACAGCUUUGAGUUA